UUUACAUUUUUUGAAAUUACAUAUAUCAAAAAGUAUUGUGUUAAAAUUUCUAAGUAAUCGGACCAUUGUAACUAUAUUAUUCUACUAUGUUUAUGGGGAUUUUCGAGUAAAAGAAAAUCAAAUUUUUAAAAAAGUUUAAGGGAUUUUGUACGGUGCCGGCAUCGUUGAUUGACUUUAGAAGAGCCGUUAUCAAGUUAUCGUGUACGUCAGCGACAUACCUGUUGUUUA